rnacentral:rRNA from 1 species
CCUUCGGGGCUCCUUGGUGAAUCAUAAUAACUUAACGAAUCGCAUGGCCUUGCGCCGGCGAUGGUUCAUUCAAAUUUCUGCCCUAUCAACUUUCGAUGGUAGGAUAGUGGCCUACCAUGGUGGCAACGGGUAACGGGGAAUUAGGGUUCGAUUCCGGAGAGGGAGCCUGAGAAACGGCUACCACAUCCAAGGAAGGCAGCAGGCGCGCAAAUUACCCAAUCCCGACACGGGGAGGUAGUGACAAUAAAUACUGAUACGGGGCUCUUUUGGGUCUCGUAAUUGGAAUGAGUACAAUCUAAAUCCCUUAACGAGGAACAAUUGGAGGGCAAGUCUGGUGCCAGCAGCCGCGGUAAUUCCAGCUCCAAUAGCGUAUAUUAAAGUUGUUGCAGUUAAAAAGCUCGUAGUUGAACCUUGGGUCUGGCUGGCCGGUCCGNCUACCGCGAGUACUGGUCCGGCUGGACCUUUCCUUCUGGGGAAUCUCAUGGCCUUCACUGGCUGUGGGGGGAACCAGGACUUUUACUGUGAAAAAAUUAGAGUGUUCAAAGCAGGCCUUUGCUCGAAUACAUUAGCAUGGAAUAAUAGAAUAGGACGUGCGGUUCUAUUUUGUUGGUUUCUAGGACCGCCGUAAUGAUUAAUAGGGAUAGUCGGGGGCGUCAGUAUUCAGCUGUCAGAGGUGAAAUUCUUGGAUUUGCUGAAGACUAACUACUGCGAAAGCAUUCGCCAAGGAUGUUUUCAUUAAUCAGGGAACGAAAGUUAGGGGAUCGAAGACGAUCAGAUACCGUCGUAGUCUUAACCAUAAACUAUGCCGACUAGGGAUCGGACGGUGUUUCUAUUAUGACCCGUUCGGCACCUUACGAGAAAUCAAAGUUUUUGGGUUCCGGGGGUUUGGAUUUCUCUCUUGACUGAGGUCAAAGCAGCUCGCUCGGACCCGGUAUUGGUUGAUAUGUGAUGAUGGUUUAGACAUGCCAAAAAGUUGGUAUUCUUCAAUAUAUGAAAAAAAAAAA